UCGGUAGUGGGCGCUGAUUAACAUGAAUUGUGGAAACAACUUUCGGCGUGCCUUCUAACAAGCCGGAAUAUAUGUAUAUUUUCUGUAUCGUUCUGAUUAUGAAUGAAUAGUGAGUUGCGCACGAGUUAUUCAUACAUAUAAGGUUUACGUUGUGUCGAGAAAGAAGAAGAAGAGGGUGACGAAGAGGAACGAAAAUUGGCGAAGUUAAACGAGUGAUUGUGUUAGCGGUGUCUGUAUCCUUAAAACGUGAGAAGGUCGAAAUAUCCAGUAAAAUAUUAAGAAGCAGUGUAGUGGCAGACGAAGCAAAUGAAGUUGUGAAGCUGUAGUACAUCUUAAGAAUUAAUAAAAUAAGAAUCGGCGAGGAGCCCUUCUACUAGGCGGGACUCAUAACCAAAAGGCGUUGCGGAAAAAUGGCUGCUGCCGCUGCUGCUGCGUUGCUCGAUGAGCUUAUGGGAAGAAAUAGGAAUGUUCUACCCAAUGAAAAGCCGAAAGAAUUAAACUGGGAGGAUCCUGAGUUUUGCAAGUUAUAUCUCGUAAAAUUUUGCCCUCAUGAUCUAUUCGUUAAUACGAGAGCGGAUUUGGGAGCUUGCUCCAGGGUACAUGAUGAUGAAGCUAGGGAUCUCUUCGAAAAAGCACCCUAUUCCUAUAGGAAGCAACAGUACGAGGAUGAAUUUAUACGGUUUUGCCAAAGUAUGCUUAAUGAGGUUGAGCGUAAGAUCAUAAAGGGAAAACAACGACUAGCACUGAUUGGAAGAACCGAAGCACCUACUCUAACACCAGCACAGACUCAGCGCAACGAAGAACAGAUUGCUCUGCUAACAGAAAAAAUUAAUAAGUUAGUGGAAGAGGCCGAACAAAGUGGUAUACAAGGAAAUGUUGAACAAGCACAAGGGUUGAUGCGUCUCUGUGAUCAACUGAAAGAAGAACGUGAAACAUUACGAAAAUCCAAUGAUAACAGUCACUAUAAUCAGACUGCUGAAUUAGCAGCAGCUCAAGAAAAACAAAUGGAAGUCUGUGACGUAUGUGGUGCAUUCCUCAUUGUCGGUGAUGCUCAACAGCGCAUAGAUGAUCAUUUAAUGGGAAAACAACACGUUGGAUAUGCCAGGCUGAAAAGUGCUCUGCAAGAAAUUAUGAACAAACGAGAGAAGGCAAGGGAUGAGAAAGAACAGAAAAGAGAUGAAGACAGAAAACAGAGAGCACGUGCGAAUGAGGAAAUAGAAAGACGUCGACAAGAGAGAGAUCGUGACAGAGAGCGGGACAGAGACAGAGAUCGUGAACGUGAAAGAGAUAAGCGUCGUAGACGUACCGACGAAGAAAAACCUAGGCACGAAUCAGCAAGUUACAGAAAUUCCGGACAUCGAAGUAAAAGCAGAUCGCGAGAAAGACACGACCGACAUAGAGAGGAAGACGGCCAUCGGCGACAUGCCAGGGAUAAGGUUAAUCGUGAUCACCGAAGCUCCAGUCACCAUAGCCGUCGUCGCCAACGGUCUAGAAGCCGAAGUCACAAGUAACUACUCUUGAUUGGUUAGUGAGUGAGAAGUGAGCCAGGUAUGCACUAAAGAAUAAACUUUUAACGUCUCAAUUACUAUACAGAUUCUUUAUCAGGUGAGUUUUAUAAAGUCGCACGUAAUUUACAUGAUAAUUUACUGUGGUACGCGACGGAAGACACUUUCAGAUUCUCAUUAGGUGACUUUUCAAUAGGUAUAACAUCUCAGACCUUUGUUCAAGCAUUAAGAAACAAUUCUUUUCCUUAAGGGAUAGAAGUAGUAUAGAUUUUCAGUGAUUCUAUAGCCAGCAUUCGAUUAUUCAGAUAUUAAAAAAGAAAAGUAUCUCUUUACAAUCAAUGGGUGGGAGGGUUUGCAAGACAGGAAAACAGCAAUGCAGGCAAUGAUUUGUCUUUAUACACAUCGGAGGGUAAAUUCGUAAUAAGAAAACUGUUCAAUGAAAGAUAUGUUCAUGCUGAAGUAUCAAAAAGAAACUUCUUUUCUAAACAAUGCAAUUAUUUCAAUAUAUACAUAUGUUACAUUCAUAUGUAUACGUUGAUAUAAUAGCAUUGUUAUAUUGAUAUGUUCAAGGGACACAUGUUACUCGUGCCAGCGUGCCAGACAAGUUACAUUUACUCUAACGCUUAGUAACUUAAAGAUAUUGUCCGUAGAGCAAGAUGGGAGAAGGUAUACCUAUACUUGCUUUGAUCGGUGUAAUAUCUUCGUAGGCUUAAAACACGGUAAACCAUUAUAUAAUUCCAACGACAGGAAAGUUCUUUUUGUCAAAAAGAAAUUAGUGAUAGUGUGGAGGAAUCAGUGCCUACUACCGUAGACCUGCCACGACAGUGCCCUGUGUGACUGUGACUAUACAAUCCUAGCUUCUGCUACGCAUUUAUGAGAGUCAAGAGAAGCGGAGGGAUGUGACUAUAAGACGGAGUAGAUACGUACACGCCGCUUAUUGUAAUCUUAAGGUAAAGAUUUUGCAUAAUCUUACAGAAAAAAAAACAAAUUCGAAAUUGAGGAACGCGUUUUAUACGAUGCUGGAUCGGUCGUAAGAUCGAUACGGCUGGCCAA